rnacentral:rRNA from 1 species
GACGAACGCUGGCGGCGCGCUUAACACAUGCAGGUCGAACGGAAAGGCCUGCUUUCCCUUGUGGAUUGCGGGUACUCGAGUGGCGAACGGGUGAGUAACACGUGAGUGAUCUGCCCCCAACUUGGGUAUAAGCCUGGGAAACUGGGUCUAAUUCCCGAUAGGACUGCAGGGUGGUGCCUGUGGUGGAAAACGAUUUUCUAGUGGUUGGGGAUGAGCUCGCGGCCUAUCAGCUUGUUGGUGGGGCAAUGGCCUACCAAGGCGGCGACGGGUAGCCGGCCUGAGAGGGUGGACGGCCACAUUGGGACUGAGAUACGGCCCAGACUCCUACGGGAGGCAGCAGUGGGGAAUAUUGCACAAUGGGCGGAAGCCUGAUGCAGCGACGCCGCGUGGGGGAUGACGGCCUUCGGGUUGUAAACUCCUUUCGACCGCGAGGAAGCCACCUGGUUGGAAGGGUGGUGACGGUAGUGGUAGAAGAAGCACCGGCUAACUACGUG